GCGUGUGCACUUCAUGGUAUUCUGUCCAAAGAAAAAAAAGACAAGAAAAGGACAGAAACACACUUAUGACAUUAUCAUUCAUCCUGACACACUGCUACACCGCUUCUUUGGCGUUUUUUUUGUGCAUUAGCUCGUUGUGUAUAUAUACCGUAACGCUUGUGUCGGCGUUAAAUCGUCCGAUGUCGACGUUUCCUCGGGAACCAUGAUCCAAUCGGUUCUAACAGUUCUCGAGCUCUCAAGCCGGACAUUAUUCUAGACUGAAGUCGGACCUCGAAAUGCGCGUACUGACACGUGCCCAUUUUUUUCAGGACACUACUUGACGAGAUCAGUCAGGACACGGGGAAGUACUGUUUCGGAGUCGAUGACACACUUAAAGCUCUGGAGAUGGGAGCCAUGGAGAUUCUGAUCGCUACGAGAACCUGGACACCAUGCGCUACGUACUGCGCUGUCACGGAGCAGAGGGAGGCGGGCCCGAAAACGAUGAGAAGACUCUGUAUUUGACACCAGUGCAGGAGAGGAUAAGUCUCACUUCACAGACAAAGAGACAGGGCAGGAGCACGAGCUCUUAGAGAGCAUGCCGCUGCUCGAGUGGUUUGCCAACAACUACAAGAAAUUCGGGCUACGCUGGAGAUCGUGACUGACAAAAGUCAAGAGGGCUCG
ensembl:lncRNA